ACAGACCAUCACUAUGUGUCUAGGGUAGUAGGAACCAUGGGACACAACCACUGCAUGACUCAGCAGCAACAGCAUAGAAGUUCUGUGUCUCUGAUUAGGAUCCAAAUUCCCAGGAAAGAGAAUCUGCUUGGCCAAGAUUGGAUAUUUCCACCCUGUUAACCCAGGUGGGUGAAGAGGACUGUGAUGUGUGGCCCGCCAUGGGACUUCACGCAUCAGAAAGGGAGUUCCACUGAGGAAAGGGCUGCUGUUUCCUUAAGAUACCACCUUAAUCCAGGCUGCUGGCAUGUCUCCCUUGGAUAGCUGUGACAGCCUCCCAGCUGGCAUUCCUGACUCCAGGCUUUUGUCCUUUCCAUUUAUUAUUUAAUAUUGCAGCAAGAAAAAUCCCUCUAAAAGCAAAAAUAGGUGGCAUUUAUCCUGAGGUCAUCUGGGUCCCUACUGCAGGAUAAGAUCUAUUUCCUGAGAUUUGCUGUUCUAGGACGUCUCAUCAUCUUCUAUCCAAGCAAAAGAGCUACAUAGCUCAACCCUCAGGCUACUAAAGAAACUUGCGUUUAACAUUAUCUGAAGGUUGAAACUGCAACUGUCCUCUUCAGAGAUACAUGUGUCAAUUUCUGCCGUCUGAGUCUUAUCUUCCAGGCCACCCUUUCAUAUGAAAGCAAGUUUGUAUUUCAGUUGCUGUUUUCUUUUAAAAGGUCUGUGCUGACCAAACUGCUCACUAUCUUUCAAUCUUUGUGAUCACUGGAAACAUUAGUGAAGUUACCAUUCUGCAACCCCAGCCACCCAGUCAGAGAAAGCUGAUUGAAUUCACUUACAGGUAUUUCUUUCUCCAUAUUCAGCUUCAAAUGGACUAGCUCAGAACUUUGGGUGUUUUAGAAAUACAAUGGACUGUCAUCAACUAUAACAUAAGUUGCUACUAUUGAGCACUUACUGUGAGAUAGGCACAGUGGUGUGCUAAUAAACUGCUUCAGUGAAACUAAAAACAAAGUCCUGAUUUGUAUUGUUGCCCAAUUUCCAUGAUGUAAAUA
rnacentral:lncRNA from 10 species